rnacentral:rRNA from 1 species
AUUGAACGCUGGCGGCAGGCCUAACACAUGCAAGUCGAACGGUAACAGGAAGACGCUUGCUUCUUUGCUGACGAGUGGCGGACGGGUGAGUAAUGUCUGGGAAACUGCCUGAUGGAGGGGGAUAACUACUGGAAACGGUAGCUAAUACCGCAUAACGUCGCAAGACCAAAGAGGGGGACCUUCGGGCCUCUUGCCAUCGGAUGUGCCCAGAUGGGAUUAGCUAGUAGGUGGGGAACGGCUCACCUAGGCGACGAUCCCUAGCUGGUCUGAGAGGAUGACCAGCCACACUGGAACUGAGACACGGUCCAGACUCCUACGGGAGGCAGCAGUGGGGAAUAUUGCACAAUGGGCGCAAGCCUGAUGCAGCCAUGCCGCGUGUAUGAAGAAGGCCUUCGGGUUGUAAAGUACUUUCAGCGGGGAGGAAGGGAGUAAAGUUAAUACCUUUGCUCAUUGACGUUACCCGCAGAAGAAGCACCGGCUAACUCCGUG